GAUGAAUGCUGGCGGCGUGCUUAACACAUGCAAGUCGAGCGGUAAGGCCCUUCGGGGUACACGAGCGGCGGACGGCUGAGUAACGCGUGGGAACAUGCCCUAAAGUGAGGAAUAACUGCCCGAAAGGGUGGCUAAUGCCGCAUAUGAUCUUCGGAUUAAAGGAGUUAUCCGCUUUAGGAGGGGCCUGCGUACGAUUAGCUAGUUGGUGAGGUAAUGGCUCACCGAGGCGACGAUCAGUAGCUGGUCUGAGAGGAUGAUCAGCCACAUUGGGACUGAGCCACGGCCCAAACCCCUACGGGAGGCAGCAGUGGGGAAUCUUGCGCAAUGGGCGAAAACCUGACGCAGCCAUGCCGCGUGAAUGAUGAAGGUCUUAGGAUUGUAAAAUUCUUUCACCGGGGACGAUACUGACGGUACCCGGACAAGAAGCCCCGGCUAACUUCGUGCCAGCCGCCGCCGUAA
rnacentral:rRNA from 1 species